rnacentral:rRNA from 1 species
AUUGAACGCUGGCGGCAUGCCUUACACAUGCAAGUCGAACGGUAACAGGUCUUCGGAUGCUGACGAGUGGCGAACGGGUGAGUAAUACAUCGGAACGUGCCCGAUCGUGGGGGAUAACGAAGCGAAAGCUUUGCUAAUACCGCAUACGAUCUACGGAUGAAAGCAGGGGACCGCAAGGCCUUGCGCGAACGGAGCGGCCGAUGGCAGAUUAGGUAGUUGGUGGGAUAAAAGCUCACCAAGCCGACGAUCUGUAGCUGGUCUGAGAGGACGACCAGCCACACUGGGACUGAGACACGGCCCAGACUCCUACGGGAGGCAGCAGUGGGGAAUUUUGGACAAUGGGCGAAAGCCUGAUCCAGCCAUGCCGCGUGCAGGAUGAAGGCCUUCGGGUUGUAAACUGCUUUUGUACGGAACGAAAAGACUCUGGUUAAUACCUGGGGUCCAUGACGGUACCGUAAGAAUAAGCACCGGCUAACUACGUGCCAGCAGCCGCAGUAAUAC